UAUUUAAAUGCUGCGUGCCUUUUGACGUGUUCUAUGGUUUGGUUUCAAUGGGCGUACGUGCGCGUAAACAUUGAGUAGCAUUCAAAGCUAUCUGAUUCAAAGACAGGAGCGCGCGCGAGCAGAUGGAAACCAUGGAAACGAGGAAACCUCAUCAACUGACAAACAGCAAAACUAGCGUCUCUCACUGUUGUUUUCACUGCUUUCAGGUAAGUUUAGUUACCAAAAUCACACAAAUAAUACAUACAAACGUUCCUGACAUCUUUCUUACGUGUAAUUGAUACACUUCUGUUGAAUAUUUACUUUAUAGAAAUGGUUUGUGUCUUCGAAAAAGUCCGUUAGCAUCUCAACCGUUUUCAGAAGAGCUAACAAGAUCAUCAUGCUGAUGGCCUGCUGCACCCCCUGUCCAAGACAAUCUCCACGGCUAUGAACUCGACUAGUGUGUUUUUAAUUAUGUUGGCCAAUGAGGCAGACACCAUACUGUCCAACUCAAAGGUA